rnacentral:rRNA from 1 species
UCGUGGAGGUCCGAACCCACGAGCGUUGAAAAGCUCGGGGAUGACUUGUGGGUAGCGGUGAAAUUCCAAUCGAGCCCGGAGAUAGCUGGUUCUCCCCGAAAUAGCUUUAGGGCUAGCCUCAAGGUGAGAGAUACGGAGGUAGAGCACUGAAUGUCCUAGGGGGUAUUGCACCUACCGAAGACUAUCAAACUCCGAAUGCCGUCAUCUUAUACUUGGGAGUCAGACUGUGGGUGAUAAGAUUCAUAGUCGAAAGGGCAACAGCCCAGAUCGUCAGCUAAGGUCCCUAAAUGUAAGUUAAGUGGUAAAGGAUGUGGGAUUGCACAGACAACCAGGAUGUUGGCUUAGAAGCAGCCACUCAUUCAAAGAGUGCGUAAUAGCUCACUGGUCGAGUGAUCCUGCGCCGAAGAUUUCCGGGGCUAAAACUUACUACCGAAGCUACGGCAUCAGUAAUGAUGGGUAGGGGAGCUUCCCAUACGGGUUGAAGCAUGACCGUAAGGACAUG